CAAAGGAGCAAUCCGCUGAGAGAUGGGCUCGCGUCCGAUUAGAUAGUUGGCGGGGUAACGGCCCACCAAGUCGGCGAUCGGUAGCCGGACUGAGAGGUUGAACGGCCACAUUGGGACUGAGACACGGCCCAGACUCCUACGGGAGGCAGCAGUGGGGGAUAUUGCACAAUGGGGGAAACCCUGAUGCAGCGAUGCCGCGUGAGUGAAGACGGCCUUCGGGUUGUAAAGCUCUGUCGCAGAGGACGAAAAUGACGGUACUCUGUAAGAAAGCUCCGGCUAACUACGUGCCAGCAGCCGCGGUAAUACGUAGGGAGCAAGCGUUGUCCGGAAUUACUGGGUGUAAAGGGAGCGUAGGCGGGAGGAUAAGUUGAAUGUGAAAUCUAUGGGCUCAACCUAUAGCUGCGUUCAAAACUGUUCUUCUUGAGUGAAGUAGAGGCAGGCGGAAUUCCUAGUGUAGCGGUGAAAUGCGUAGAUAUUAGGAGGAACACCAGUGGCGAAGGCGGCCUGCUGGGCUUUUACUGACGCUGAGGCUCGAAAGCGUGGGUAGCAAACAGGAUUAGAUACCCUGGUAGUCCACGCGGUAAACGAUGAUUACUAGGUGUGGGUGGACUGACCCCAUCC
rnacentral:rRNA from 1 species